rnacentral:rRNA from 1 species
UACGUAGGGUGCAAGCGUUGUCCGGAAUUAUUGGGCGUAAAGAGCUCGUAGGCGGUUCGUCGCGUCGGCUGUGAAAACCCGGAGCUCAACUCCGGGCCUGCAGUCGAUACGGGGCGGACUGGAGUUCGGCAGGGGAGACUGGAAUUCCUGGUGUAGCGGUGAAAUGCGCAGAUAUCAGGAGGAACACCGGUGGCGAAGGCGGGUCUCUGGGCCGAUACUGACGCUGAGGAGCGAAAGCGUGGGGAGCGAACAGG